GUCUCUAUUGUGCAAUGGAUAGCGCGUUGGAAUUCUAAUCCAAAGGUCUUGGUUUCGAAUCCCACUUGGGAUG